GGAUGUGAGAGGACACCUGUUACCCCACUGAUCGCCAAGACUGACUUGUCUGCUCCGCCUGGCUAGGCGGGUGUCCCUCACCACUCCGCGGAGCCCCUCCCCUGUCGGCCCGCAUGGUCCAAGAAGGCGUCCCUCAUGAAGGAGGACCUGUUCUUCCAUCAGGGGUUUAGGGGUGACCAUGCUCCCCUGCUCGAACCUCCAAGCAAGCCCUCAGAGCCCAUUUGUAGGAGAACAGAGCAUAGUCAGUGUUUUUUUAAAAAACACAUUUUAAAAUUUUUCAAAAAAGAACUUUUA
rfam:Camelus ferus unplaced genomic scaffold scaffold968, whole genome shotgun sequence.